rnacentral:rRNA from 1 species
UAGAGUUUGAUCAUGGCUCAGAUUGAACGCUGGCGGAAUGCUUUACACAUGCAAGUCGAACGGCAGCACGGGAGCUUGCUCCUGGUGGCGAGUGGCGAACGGGUGAGUAAUAUAUCGGAACGUACCCAGACGUGGGGGAUAACUAGUCGAAAGAUUAGCUAAUACCGCAUACGUCCUGAGGGAGAAAGCGGGGGAUCGCAAGACCUCGCGCGUUUGGAGCGGCCGAUAUCUGAUUAGCUAGAUGGUGAGGUAAAGGCUCACCAUGGCGACGAUCAGUAGCUGGUCUGAGAGGAUGAUCAGCCACACUGGAACUGAGACACGGUCCAGACUCCUACGGGAGGCAGCAGUGGGGAAUUUUGGACAAUGGGCGAAAGCCUGAUCCAGCCAUUCCGCGUGAGUGAAGAAGGCCUUCGGGUUGUAAAGCUCUUUCGGCAGGAACGAAACGGUGAGAGCUAAUAUCUCUUACUAAUGACGGUACCUGAAGAAGAAGCACCGGCUAACUACGUGCCAGCAGCCGCGGUAAUACGUAGGGUGCGAGCGUUAAUCGGAAUUACUGGGCGUAAAGCGUGCGCAGGCGGUGACUCAAGUCAGAUGUGAAAGCCCCGGGCUUAACCUGGGAACGGCAUUUGAAACUAGGUCGCUAGAGUAUGGCAGAGGGGGGUAGAAUUCCACGUGUAGCAGUGAAAUGC